UACGGGGGGGGCAAGCGUUGUUCGGAAUUACUGGGCGUAAAGGGUUUGUAGGUGGCUUGUUAAGUCCGACGUGAAAUCCCUCAGCUUAACUGGGGAACUGCGUCUGAUACUGGCGAGCUUGAGUGCAGGAGAGGAACGCGGAAUUCCAGGUGUAGCGGUGAAAUGCGUAGAUAUCUGGAGGAACACCGGUGGCGAAGGCGGCGUUCUGGACUGCAACUGACACUGAGAAACGAAAGCCAGGGUAGCAAACGGG
rnacentral:rRNA from 1 species